rfam:Triticum aestivum genome assembly, contig: Triticum_aestivum_CS42_TGACv1_scaffold_222677_3B
CAAAUACUCCCUCUGUCCGGAAAUACUUGUCAUCAAAAUGGAUAGAAGGAAAUGUAUCUAGACGUAUUUUAGUAUUAGAUACAUCUCUUUUUAUCCAUUUUGAUUGACAAGUAUUUUCGAACGGAGGGAGUAUUUA